UAGGGAAUCUUCGGCAAUGGACGAAAGUCUGACCGAGCAACGCCGCGUGAGUGAAGAAGGUUUCGGAUCGUAAAACUUUGUUGUUAGAGAAGAACAAAGACGUUAGGAACUGAACGUCCCCUGAACGUUUCUAACCAGAAAACCACGGCUAAAUACCUGCCAGCAGCCGCGGGUAUACGUAGGUGGCAAGCGUUGUCCGGAUUUAUUGGGCGGAAAGCGAGCGCAGGCGGUUUCUUAAGUCUGAUGUGAAAGCCCCCGGCUCAACCGGGGAGGGUCAUUGGAAACUGGGAGACUUGAGUGCAGAAGAGGAGAGUGGAAUUCCAUGUGUAGCGGUGAAAUGCGUAGAUAUAUGGAGGAACACCAGUGGCGAAGGCGGCUCUCUGGUCUGUAACUGACGCUGAGGCUCGAAAGCGUGGGGAGCAAACAGG
rnacentral:rRNA from 1 species